rnacentral:rRNA from 1 species
UGAAUACGAGAUGCUACGGCGUCGAAGCAGUGUAUGUCAGACUUCCAAGAAAAGCUCGCAAUGUCAUAAAUAAAGAAUGCCUGUACCAUAACCGACACAGGUGGGUAGGUAGAGUAUACUAAGGAGCGCGAGAUAACUCUCUCUAAGGAACUCGGCAAAAUAACUCCGUAACUUCGGGAGAAGGAGUGCCUUCUCUAAGAAGGUUGCAAUAACAAGAUCCAAGCAACUGUUUAUCAAAAACACAGGUCUCCGCUAAGUCGUAAGACGAUGUAUGGGGGCUGACGCCUGCCCAGUGCCAGAAGGUUAAAGAAGUUGGUUAGCUUUUGCGAAGCUGAUGACUGAAGCCCUGGUGAACGGCGGCCGUAACUAUAACGGUCCUAAGGUAGCGAAAUUCCUUGUCGGGUAAGUUCCGACCCGCACGAAAGGCGUAAUGAUUUGGAUACUGUCUCGGAGAGGGACUCGGUGAAGUAGACUUGUCUGUGAAGAUGCGGACUACCUGCACCAGGACAGAAAGACCCUAUGAAGCUUUACUGUAACUUGAAAUUGAAAUUGGACUUUAUUUGCGCAGUAUAGGUGGAAGGCGUUGAAAGUAAUCUUGCGGGAUUAGUGGAGCCAUCAGUGAGAUACCACUCCUAUAAUGUUAGAUUUCUAACUUUGGAUCAUGAUCUGGUCAAAGAACAGUUUCAGGCGGGCAGUUUGACUGGGGCGGUCGCCUCCCAAAUGGUAACGGAGGCGUACAAAGGUUUCCUCUGAACGGGUAGAAAUCGUAUCUAGAGUGUAAAGGCGUAAGGAAGCUUGACUGUGAGACCUACAAGUCGAGCAGGGACGAAAGUCGGUCUUAGUGAUCUGACGGUGCUGAGUGGAAAGGCCGUCACUCAACGGAUAAAAGUUACUCUAAGGAUAACAGGCUGAUCUCCCCCAAGAGUUCACAUCGACGGGGAGGUUUGGCACCUCGAUGUCGGCUCAUCGCAUCCUGGGGCGGUAGUAGGUCCCAAGGGUUGGGCUGUUCGCCCAUGAAAGCGGUACGCGAGCUGGUUUCAGAACGUCGUGAGACAGUUCGGUCCAUAUCCGGUGUAGGCGUUAGAAUAUUGAGAGGAGCCUUCUUUAGUACGAGAGGACCGAGAAGGACAUACCUCUGGUGUACCAGUUAUCGUGCCAACGGUAAACGCUGGGUAGCUAUGUAUGGAGAGGAUAACCGCUGAAAGCAUCUAAGUGGGAAGCCCACCUCAAGAUGAGUAUUCUCAC